rnacentral:rRNA from 1 species
UCUACGGGAGGCAGCAGUGGGGGAUCUUGCACAAUGGAGGGAACUCUGAUGCAGCGACGCCGCGUGAGGGAAGACGGUUUUCGGAUUGUAAACCUCUAUCCCCGGUGACGAUAAUGACGGUAGCUGAGGAGGAAGCUCCGGCUAACUACGUGCCAGCAGCCGCGGUAAUA